rnacentral:rRNA from 1 species
UACGUAGGGUGCAAGCGUUGUCCGGAAUUAUUGGGCGUAAAGAGCUCGUAGGCGGUUCGUCACGUCGGCUGUGAAAUCCCGAGGCUCAACCUCGGGUCUGCAGUCGAUACGGGCGGACUUGAGUACUGCAGGGGAGACUGGAAUUCCUGGUGUAGCGGUGAAAUGCGCAGAUAUCAGGAGGAACACCGAUAGCGAAGGCAGCCUGCCAAGCAACAACUGACGCUGAGGCACGAAGUGCGGGGAUCAAACAGGAUUAGAAUGACCCGAGUAGUCC